AUGGUAUAAAAAGAAAAGCAUAUCAUUCUUCAGAAUCAUUUGUUCAAUAUGAACCCCAAAACAGCAAUCGUAGUUUUCUUGUUUGUUAUAAUUUGUGUAAGCGGACUUUCGACAACUGAUAAGAAAAAACAGAAUGAUGACAUAGCCGACAUUAAAAACAGACUAGGACAUCUUGAACAGUUGAUUGGACAACUGGUCACCGGGAAUUCAUCAUCGGAUGUUCUUAAAAUUAGUGUGUCCACUGGCAGAAACACGUUUCCUUUUCAGCCUACAAGAACCAAACUCAGGAUGGACUGAACCGGAGACACAUCAUCAAGUUUGAGCAGACGAUACUGAACCUUGGAAAUCACUACCAUCCAGAGGACGGAAUAUUUAUCGCCCCGGUGUCAGGUGUAUACCUCUUCCACUGGACUAUGAUUAAUAAAGCAGAUUUUGCACAUACUAACAUUUUGGUAGGAGGUAAAUUUAUGUCUACAACUACCACAUCGAUAGUAUCAAAUUAUAAUUCUGGAUCUGCCUUGGUGAUUGUUCACGUACAGAAGGGGCAGCAUGUUUGGAUUCAGACCUGCUGUGGUACUGGGCAUGAAGUAGAUGGAAACACACUAGUUAGGGUUGGAAAGCUAUUUCCAGUCUACCUUUUCCGGGACUUUACUCUUUCCAGUUUCAGAAAAUUAAAGUUACACAUGUAUGUGUGUGGAAUAAAUCCCACCCGACUGUAAAACAACUUGACGCUUGUUAUUCCAUUCUAGAAACAGAGUAAUAGAAUCAUUAUUUCAUGUGAAGUACAGUAGGUGGCCAUAAUUUAUUUCCCAAAAUAGCCGCCGUAGUUAAAUGUUGGACUAUCCUGUUGCAAUGCAAAACUUGAAUAGCACGCAAACAAUAAAACACAUUUACCUUAAA